rnacentral:rRNA from 1 species
AGAGUUUGAUCCUGGCUCAGAGCGAACGCUGGCGGCAGGCUUAACACAUGCAAGUCGAACGGGCGUAGCAAUACGUCAGUGGCAGACGGGUGAGUAACGCGUGGGAACGUACCUUUUGGUUCGGAACAGCUGAGGGAAACUUCAGCUAAUACCGAAUAAGCCCUUACGGGGAAAGAUUUAUCGCCGAAAGAUCGGCCCGCGUCUGAUUAGCUUGUUGGUGAGGUAACGGCUCACCAAGGCGACGAUCAGUAGCUGGUCUGAGAGGAUGAUCAGCCACAUUGGGACUGAGACACGGCCCAAACUCCUACGGGAGGCAGCAGUGGGGAAUAUUGGACAAUGGGCGAAAGCCUGAUCCAGCCAUGCCGCGUAAGUGAUGAAGGCCCUAGGGUUGUAAA